CGGAGCGAGCCCGGUCCCGACUCAUCCCGGCGAUGGAGGCGCGGCGGUGGCCGCUGUGGUUGCAGGGCCUGGCGCUGCUCUGGGGCCGAGCCGCGAUGGGGCUGGCGCAGAGCCCCACCGGGGCUCCGCCGGCGCUGGCAUGUUCAGCAUUUUCCCAGAAGUCCUGUGAUGAAUGUCUAAAAAAUGUUUCGUGCCUUUGGUGUUACACCAACAACACUUGCAUUGAUUACCCUGUAAGAAGCAUUCUUCCACCGUCUUCAUUGUGUUCCCUCUCUAAUGCUCGAUGGGGAGUUUGCUGGAUAAAUUUUGAGGCUUUAAUUAUUGCCAUAGCUGUAGUAGCUGGACUCAUUCUGGUGUCUGUAGCAGUCUGUUGCUGUUACUGCUGUUACUGCAGAAGACGUUCCAGGAGUAGACCAGAUGAAGAAGAAGAGCAGCUAGCUAGGAAGAGAGAGGAAAGAAGACUACAGUCUCUUCAGAGGAAACAUGAAAGAAAACUGAAGCAUGAUGAAAUACGUAAGAAGUAUGGUAGUUAGUUGCAGUAACUCAUACAGUAAUCAGCACUAAGCAGUUGUGCUUCUUGAUUGGAAUCUUAAAUAACCUGGCAGUUCAAACGAAGCUCUCCAACUGCAACAAGGUCUUCUUCAGGAUUCUGAUAACCCGUACAGCAGAUUUGAGAAUGAAUAAAGCUGAGCACCUUCCACUAGAGCUGUGACUCCAGAAGACAGGAAGACUGUUUUCAUUUAGCCUUUGUGCUCUUUUGCUUUGUUUUUUUUUUCCCUGAAUUGUUUUUUCCUGAUUGUAAAACUAGAAGCAGCUAAAGACUUUAUGAAAUAACAUGUUCCUAUCUCCUACUCAUAUAGAACUAAUUUUUAUAAAUGGUUUUAUUGUUGAAAUGUUUGCUGAAUUUUGUGACUAUCUUUCCUCUUCUUAAAACUGUAUUUUAUUACUUGAUGUAGACGGUUAAUAGUCACAAUUUGAGUUCAGUUUUAAUUGCCAUUUAAAGCAGUUGUUCCCAUGUUCCUAAAUAAAGAUUUUAUAUAUAUAUAUAUAUAUAUAUAUGUAAAAUAAAAAGCAACAUGGAAGCACAGCUUCACAUGGCAGAAAUAGCUGAUGAGAAAAUACAGCACACACAUUCUUGUGGGUGGAGGUUUUUUCUAUCUGGAAAAAGAUCUUCCAAGAGUGUAAUAUGUAAGGGUUGAGAGAGGGGAGCAUAUUUGUCUUUGAAUAAUUCAGUUCAGUUGUGGAAAUGUUAAUAUGUACUCGGGAUGUAGCACUGAUGUGAAAAAGAAACUACUUCACUUAGCAAAAGUGGAAGAAGGUCACUCUUGAAAUGUACAUGGUUAUGUGUGCCCAAAUUUAAGAAACAUCAAUCUGUGUGAAAUCUUUCUUUUGUAAGCUUAAUGUAUAAUGAAAAAAAAGUAAAAAGUUGCCCAGAUUCUGCAGUUUACCAGAGCUGACCCUGGCCAGCAGCUAAGCACUGCCCAGCUGCUUCCUCCCUCAGAGGGAUGAGGGAGGGAAUGGGAACAGCAAAGGGUUGAGAUAAAAACACUCUAAGUGAAGAAAAGGAGAGUAAGUGGGAACAAGCCAUGCAAAGGGAAUUUCCACCUCCCAGAAGCAGAUCUCUGCCCAGCCUCCCCGCAGUUUUUCUUGGGGAGCCUGGAAUAUCAUUUGGGUCAGUUCUGGCCAGCUGUCCCAAUUGUAUCCCCUCCCAGCUUCUUGCUCACCCCUGGCCUCCUUGCUGGAACGGUCAGAGUGGGGAAAAAAUGAAACCUUGAUGCUGUGCAAGCAAUGCUCAGCAAAAGCCAAAGCACUGGUGUAUUACCAGCACUGUUCCUGCCACAAAUCCAAAGCAAAGCAGCACCAUACAGGCUGCUGUGAAGAAAGUUACCUCAAUCCCAACCAGACCCAGUACAGUAAGAAAGUGGUAUUUUUUUAACCUUUUAUUGUUCUGUUGAUAUUUCUAUAAUGUGAUUUAUUUCCUGUCUUUCUUUUCAUAGAGGUGUUUCCUUGAGCAUUUUUAGUAGCUUACCAGUACAAUGUGACAAGCAAAUGACUCUUCUGUCCCCCAGUCUGAUGUUCGUUCCCAUUUAUUCUGUACACUUUAAAUAACCUCCCUUGCUGUAUAUUAUCUAUUAAACAAAUGUACAGUAUUGAAGAUGUCCGUGCUAUUUUUAUCCACAUUCCUAAAAUAAACACUUUAACAUCUUGAA